rnacentral:rRNA from 1 species
UACGUAGGGUCCGAGCGUUGUCCGGAAUUAUUGGGCGUAAAGAGCUCGUAGGCGGUUUGUCGCGUCUGCUGUGAAAGUCCGGGGCUCAACUCCGGAUCUGCGGUGGGUACGGGCAGACUAGAGUGAUGUAGGGGAGACUGGAAUUCCUGGUGUAGCGGCGAAAUGCGCAGAUAUCAGGAGGAACACCGAUGGCGAAGGCAGGUCUCUGGGCAUUAACUGACGCUGAGGAGCGAAAGCAUGGGGAGCGAACAGG